rfam:Echinops telfairi cont1.364536, whole genome shotgun sequence.
CAGAGCCCGCCAGCCGCUAAGCCAGGGCCACACCUGGGGGUGAGUGUACCUCACCUCCAGUAGGCACCUUGGUCUCUUUGAGCUAAUCUUUGGCUCUCUUGCACUAACUCUUGCUCUCCCUCGGCUAAUCCCUGGCUGCCCCCGGGGCUGCCCACUAACAGUCAGCCUGCUCAGGCGGGCUCCAGGCUCUUGGCCUGGCUCUGAUGGCUCCUACUAACGGCUGCCUUCCCGGUCUGUUCCUUUCAGCAGAAACUAACGGCUUGUCUCUUUCUUUCUGACUAACAACAGGUCUAUCACUUCCUCAUUAACGAUUCCUAUUAACAGCUUGAGGUCUGCAUGGCUGGG